CUACGUGCCAGCAGCCGCGGUAAUACGUAGGUGGCAAGCGUUGUCCGGAAUUAUUGGGCGUAAAGCGCGCGCAGGCGGAUCUGCCAGUCUGUCUUAAAAGUUCGGGGCUCAACCCCGUGAUGGGAUGGAAACUACAGAUCUAGAGUAUCGGAGGGGAAAGUGGAAUUCCUAGUGUAGCGGUGAAAUGCGUAGAUAUUAGGAGGAACACCAGUGGCGAAGGCGACUUUCUGGACGAUCACUGACGCUGAGGCGCGAAAGCCAGGGGAGCGAACGGGAUUAGAUACCCCGGUAGUCCUGGCCGUAAACGAUGGGUACUAGGUGUAGGAGGUAUCGACCCCUUCUGUGCCGGAGUUAACGCAAUAAGUACCCCGCCUGGGGAGUACGACCGCAAGGUUGAAACUCAAAGGAAUUGACGGGGGCCCGCACAAGCGGUGGAGUAUGUGGUUUAAUUCGACGCAACGCGAAGAACCUUACCAGGUCUUGACAUUGAUGGACAGAACUAGAGAUAG
rnacentral:rRNA from 1 species